rnacentral:rRNA from 1 species
CCCUUAGAUGUCCUGGGCUGCACGCGCGCUACACUGGAAGUUACGGAUUGAGAUACUACCUUGUCCGAAAUGGUCCGGGUAAUCACCUAAAAGCUUGUCAUAAUUGGAAUGGAUUAUUGUAACUAGUAAUCCUGAACGAGGAAUUCCUAGUAAGUCCCAGUCAACAGCUGGUACUGAUUACGUCCCUGCCCUUUGUACACACCGCCCGUCGCUACUACUGAUUGGACGUUUAAGCAAGAUUUUUAAACACUGACAGUGUGUAGUUCACGCUAUAUUACAGUGAGAAGAAGAAGAUCGAGCUUACUUGUCUAGAGGAAGUAAAAGUCGUAACA